GUUAAUUAAAUAUCACCAGCUACCUAACUUAAUUUUAGCUAGGUGUCUUGAUGUAUUUAUCAUUGUAAAAACAAACUCCAAAUGCAUUUGUAGGUAGCUAGGUAACAGCCAUUGAGAAGGGUGAAAGGACAGCAGCCCCAAUUGUCAAAGUGAGAGAGUAGGCUAUUCUGGAUAGGGCAGGUACUUUUGUGUAGUUCCAGUCCCUAGAAGUGAGAACAGAGAUAUAGUAACAUAAUAUUCAGUGUUGUCUAAUUUGAGUAAAAUGAAGUCUGUUUAUUGCAAUGUUUUAUGUCCUCAGAUACAGAGAGCUUUGAAAGCCUGUCUGCAGAUGAAGAGGUCCCAAUGAAGAGCAGUGGUUCUCAGUCCUGGUCCUGGGGACUUAGAGGGGUGCACAUUUUAGUUUUUAGCUUAGCACUACAGAGCGGAUUCAAAUGAUCAACUCAUCAUCAAGCUUCAAGUGAUACCUUGCAACUGGAGAUUCCUUCAAAACGAUUUGGUUACCAGGGCCAUCUGGGACUGCCUACCUGUGUCCUGCAGAACUUCAUGAGGAUGUAGAUGAGGACCAGGAGGGGAUCUGCAGGAUUUUUCAAGGAUGGGCGCUAACAACGCAGCACAGGAGGCAAUCCGUGUGCGGGAGAUCUUCACCUCCUACUUCUUCGAUGAGGGUGCUGUUCCUUGGCAACACCAAAGACUAGACUAUGCACAACCAAAGACUCUUAAGAGCCAUCCACAUUGCAAUAAGUGUAUUCUUCCAUUUACUUCGCUAUGCCAACUGCAUUUAUUCAAUUCACAGUUUAGGUAAGGGUAAUGUCUGUACAAAAAUAGAACAGGCUCCUUUAAGAGUCACCCAUAUUGAAAUAGAAGAACAAUUAGACACUCUAUAACCCCCAGCUACACACUCGUGUAUCAAUCUGAUUGAUGGAUUGUGUUGUGCAGUAAGUAGGCUCAGGUGUAUAACUGUGGCUCCUUCCACCUUCAAAGAACAGGCAAGAGGGCCAACCAUGGAGAAUAGUAAGACAUGGUCAUUAUUUCUAUUUAUGUAGAAAAUAACGUAGAAAACAAUAUAUUGUUUGUCAUCGUGUGUCUGUAUGUUUUUCAGUAUAAAGUACUUUUCAGCCACUUAGUGUGGACAACGGGUGAGACGACACACAGAUUCCUGUUGAAUACUGUCUCUUCAACUACCUUAUUUUCUCAAUAACCGUCUCUCUCCUUCACUUCCUCCCUCUUCCCCCCUUCUGCCUAAAUCCUCUAGGUUAUAUCAGCUGUGUCGGUGAACCCCUACCGCAUCUGAACUGGCUACAUAGAGGGCACAGUAUGAUCAGAGGUAUGUCUUGAUGUGAGAGAGGAUGCCAACCCCCAGUCCCAUCAUCGCCACCUCACCCGCUCGGGCCAACUGGGGAGACACCACGGGAGACACUAUUAUACAAUUGUGAUGAACUGAGAGAAUAUUACAUUUAGUCGCACUGUAAUUCAUGAAUCAUAUGCUGUCAUCCCUGCUCCUCUUUUCCUUUCUGUCUUCUACACUUUUUCUCACACCUCUCUCCUCAUCUCCUCUUUAUUCCUCUGUGUUUAUCAUGCACACCAGAUGUGCAUUGAACAACAGAUUGAACUUCUAUUUAUAAUAUAAGAUUACAAUUAUAAUGUUUAUAAUGCAUGUAUUAUGUAUUUAUAACACUUGGAUAACUUCUUUCAAUAAA